GACGUAGGGCGCGAGCGUUGUCCGGAUUUAUUGGGCGUAAAGAGCUCGUAGGCGGCUUGUUGCGUCGACCGUGAAAACCCGGGGCUCAACUUCGGGCUUGCGGUCGAUACGGGCGGGCUAGAGUUCGGUAGGGGAGACUGGAAUUCCUGGUGUAGCGGUGAAAUGCGCAGAUAUCAGGAGGAACACCGGUGGCGAAGGCGGGUCUCUGGGCCGAUACUGACGCUGAGGCACGAAAGCGUGGGGAGCAAACAGG
rnacentral:rRNA from 1 species